rnacentral:rRNA from 1 species
CACGUAGGGCGCAAGCGUUGUCCGGAAUUAUUGGGCGUAAAGAGCUCGUAGGCGGUCUGUUGCGUCCGCUGUGAAAUCUCCGGGCUUAACUCGGAACGGUCAGAUGAUACUGCUUUGCUCGAGUGCGGAAGGGGCAAUCGGAAUUCUUGGUGUAGCGGUGAAAUGCGUAGAUAUCAAGAGGAACACCUGAGGUGAAGACGGGUUGCUGGGCCGACACUGACGCUGAAGCGCGAAAGCCAGGGGAGCAAACGGG